rnacentral:rRNA from 1 species
UACGUAGGGCGCGAGCGUUGUCCGGAAUUAUUGGGCGUAAAGAGCUCGUAGGCGGUUCGUCGCGUCGGCUGUGAAAACCUGAGGCUCAACCUCAGGCCUGCAGUCGAUACGGGCGGACUUGAGUACUGCAGGGGAGACUGGAAUUCCUGGUGUAGCGGUGAAAUGCGCAGAUAUCAGGAGGAACACCGGUGGCGAAGGCGGGUCUCUGGGGCAGUAACUGACGC